rnacentral:lncRNA from 1 species
UUCAAAUUCAUCUUUAAUAUGUAACCCAUGAGUGGAAAGAAACCCUCAGUUUAAUGGACUUUUCUCUGAGAACUUUUCUAAAUAUCUAGCCCUUGUGACAAUUAAAGUUAAAGGUUCAUUUUCUGAAUGUCCUCAGAAAAGGGUACCUAUUUUGGAGGAGUCUAGUCACUAAUUCCCCUGUUUUGUCACUUUAAGUUUUCUCCCUCACACUAAACUGCAAACUGCUUGAGGGUAGGGAGAGUCUAUUGAUCAGCACAGGGUACAUAAGGUUCUUUGAAUAAAAGAAUAGAUGAAGAUGAACCAUUCACUGAAGAUUCUCAACCAGGAGCAGUUCUUCCUCCAGGAGCCAUCAAGUGGUGCGGUGUCUUUCUGGCCCAUUCCUUCUGAGGAGAAAUAUGUUCAUGCUGCAAGAGCUGCCUUGCACAGCUUGGAAAGCCCUUUGGAGAUGGCAUUGAAGGUGAAUUUCACUGCAGAGGAAUUUCUUGACUUGCAUCAGACUCUUUGAAAGAUCCCUGACCAAGGCUUGGAAAUGUACUGCUCCAGGGACCACUGACUCUCCACAACUGAUCAGAGCUGGUAGCUCCCCAGAACUGGGCAUCAUGGUGGUACUGCCUUGAUUCCAAGCAGUUGGAGAAUGUUGACCCUGCCUCUGUGUUCCUGCCUCUCCACUGUUCUGCAAUCCCGGAUCACUUUCUGUGCCUUCUGAAU